ACGCCCCCUCGCCGCUGCACCUUUCAGGGCUGCUACCUCCCAGCUUCACUGCUCUCUCUCCAACUUCUACUGGAAGGGAAAGGGAGACCCCUUCUGCUUGCCCUAAGGGUCUCUAUGCCCCUCUGGGUCCAAGUAACCACACCUCCCUCUCCCACCAUCACAUCCCCAAAAUAGAAUGAGAAUGCUGAGUGCUGGGCCUUCCACCCCAUCCCAGUGUGAGGUGGUUACUGUGGACCUCCUGCAACCAGACAGAGCAAAUGAAGUCCCACUGAAUCCUGGGAGAAGUCACCAGGUGAAGGACUCGUGCAACCAAGAGGAGCUUCUGACCUCAACAGGUUCCGUGGUGAAGGUAGAAACUUCAAUUGCUAAGACCUCAGCUCUCUGGCAGUGCCUCUCACAGCACAACUACAGUAAUGAAAAUCACUGCCUUGGUGAACUCCAUCUGUCGGUUUAGAACUUCCGUUCUUCAAUCACAGGAGAUGUUCAUUGGGAGACAAAAGUUGCCCCACUGGGAUAGCACUGAUUGUGCAAGGACUUUAAGCCAUGUCAUCAGAGUCCAGCCUGCAGUGGGUGGGCAUUGCAGCCCCCAGCUGAGAAAGGAUGAAGACCAGCUUCCAUUUCUCCCAUCUUUCUAUACUUGGUCAUAGCCAAAAGGCCGAGAAGCAAUCUUGUUAUAGCACUGUGCUGGGCAGAAACACACCCAAGAGAAAAUGAGAAGUACUCACUACUGGUCUUGAACUGAGCAGGAGGAAUCUUGUCUUUUCUCUCCUCUGUCAUUAGGGUCACCGUAAGUGUUGGCGUAGCCAGAAAAAAUAAAUACUACGUGUCCCAUAGAG